rnacentral:rRNA from 1 species
AGGUUUCCCUAAAGAGCGCUUGUAGACUACAAGUUUGAUAGGUCAGAAGUGGAAGUGCAGUAAUGUAUGGAGCUAACUGAUACUAAUUGCUCGUUUGGCUUGGUCGC